GUUUUUCCCGUGUUUCCUUCUCCGGUUUAAAAAUCAAGUCAGGUAUAAACUCCCUUCACCUAGACUCUCUCCUCCACCACACUAGAGGUUGCCUCCGACGACGGAGGAGCUUUAAUCUUCACACCAAAUACAUCAUCAUAUUUCUCUCCCUCCACUGAUUUUGAAUCUCAAAACCAAAUUUUACAAACCUUAACCAAAUAUCCAAAUCGAAUAAAACUAUCUAUGGACCCUAGGAACUAAAUGGAAAAUUAAACUGUGAAUCUUUGGAAUCAAAGCCCUAGAGGUUAGGGCUUUGAUUCCCCUAACCGUAAUCUACAUCUUGGUAACAAGCUUGAGGAAGAUGGUGAAGGAAAUUGAGAACUCACUGGCACGGAGGUCAUCGGAGUUUCAGGUAUUCCUUAUGGAUCAUUCGAAUUUCCUUCCUAUUCAUCUCGAUUCUCUUUUCUUCUUCUUCUUUUGGUCUUUUAUGAUCUUACUCUCUUCUUCUCUGCUCUUUCUGUUGAGCUUUCUCGAAUUCGCAUGAUGAGUUGAAUUGAGAGGUGUGGAUGAAAAAUGAAGGAGUGUGAUGAAUCUAGAGUGAAGUGUCCAUGCAUGAAUGGUUUAACUAAAUUUAUAGGGGAGUGAGUUAACAAAAGGAUUUGAGCUCUGUUUAAUCAUCCAGUUGGAAAUGAUUCAAAACUGUUAGAAAUUAUGUAACAAUGUUAAUUUCAGUUAGUUGGUAAUAAAAUUUAGUUAGAGAUUUCUGUUUCAAUUAGUGGUGAAAUGUUAAAUGAUUUUCUAUUAAUUGGAUUUUGUUAGUGGUUGAACUCUCGAUUUCUGUUAGUGAAAAUGUGCAACGUUAAAUGAUGCUCAGUUAAUUAGUUAAGCUCAUUUUUUGUCAGAUUGAAUAAACUAUUAGUUGGUUUGAGUUGUUAGUUGUAAGUGUAAGGUGAGAAACAAAGAUUUUGACUGUUAGUAAAAAAUAAAUUAUGUUAGGUUGGAAUUGUGGACUGAAUUGCUUUGCAUUACCCUGUGUGAAAUGCUUGAAAUUAGUUCAGUUAAGCAUUGCCUGGGUGUACAAUAUUGUUGGAUUGUUGAUGUAUGGUUAAUGUCUUGCUAUUGAUGCUCUGAAAUAAAUAUUAUUAUGCAUGUUGAUAAUUGUUAACUUCUAGUGUUUUGAUGAAUAACAUUGACUGCAAUUUCUUGUUUGCUAUUGUUUGAAAUGUAUUAUGUGUUUAUGAUGAAUUAUUUGAAUUGUUAAAUGAGGGCCUAUUGGUUGUAUGCCUAAGUUUUGCUAUGGUUUGGUGAAUUGUCAUGAUGCUUGGUUGUUAAGUAUGCAUUGCCAUGGUUAUGGUUUUGUGAUGAAUUGUUUGAAUUGUUGGCAUCUAAAUGGGUUGAAAUAUGAAUUGGUUGAUUGGCAAUGAUUUAUGGUGAAAUGUUAUGUAUUGGUGAUGAUGAAUGGAAUUCCUUUCUUGUGCUAGGGAUGUUAUGAUAAGUCGUGUUAUGUUGGUUAAUUUGGGAUAUGUUACAUGAAUGAUUGGUGUUUGGAUCAUAUAUGCAUGUUUGUGUUGGUUAACAUGGUUACUUAUGCAUGUUUGGCUUUGUGUUAGGUGUAGGGUUGUUGGCUUGGAAACUGGUCAUUCAAUGCAAGUUUCAAGGAAAAGUUCAAUGCAUGGCAAGUGUUCAAGGCAUGACCAAGACUAACUUUGGCACAAAUUAAAGUUUCUUGUUCAUGAAGCAUGUUAAUGAUGGAACUUCGUGCAAGAAUGGAGAUGCAAUGUACAUUAGGGUUUAGGGAAUAAAAAGUAGGUCAAAUUAUCAACUUCGAUGAAUGACUUCCAUGAACAAAACAAGCUUGAUGAUUGAUUAUUCAUGACAUGGUGGUCAAGGACCACACUCCAGUGAAUUAGGGUUCCAGUCAAUCCCAAGGUCAAAAGUCAAGCCCACAUGGCCCACAAGUACCAAGUAUCUAUGAUUAGGGUUUCAAGAUGUAAACCAUCAAAUCAAGUGCCUUAAACCAAGAACCAAGGCUCUAUAAUCAAUUCUUUAAUAAAAGGCCCCAAGACUAUGGUUUAAUGAUCAAGUUAGUGCUCAUAAGGUCAUUCACAAGUCCCAUGAGUAGCAAAGCCAAGAAUUAGGGUUUUGGUGCACAGGUGAAAACCAUGUUUGCAAUCUCCAUGAAUCAAGGUCCCAAUCAUAAGAAAUUUAGGUUUCACCUCCUUGAUUAAGAUGAUGAGCAUCACCAUAAUCCUAGGGCUUGAUCUACAAGCAAACCCUAGCCUUCAUAACCAUACACUUUGAAUCUAUAAUGAUUAUUAGAAAGUGCUAACAUGAAUGAACGAUGCACAUGUAUUUGCUAUGAAUGAGUGCAUAUAAAUCUCAAGGCAAAGGCUAGAUGAAAAGUGAAAAGGGAAGGGAAAAUUUUGGAGUAUGACAACUGCCUCUAUUUAAUCAUGUUGAACCUGAAUGCCAGAAUUAUGACAAUUUUUUAGGUAUUCAAGGUAGAAGAGGAUUAAAUACCCAAAUAUCUGAAAUUUUACCUGUUUAAGAACGGUUAUAGUGAGAUACAAACAAAUAUAUAUUGAAUAUGGAAUGGCAGGUAGACUUUUAUAGGUUCAUCUGUUGGGGAUUGAUUGAAAUACUUUGUGGGGAAGUAUAUCCAACAUAAAGGGAAAGCAUGAUAUGCAUGCUAUAUGCAAUGUACGAUGGAUUUAUUUAUGAUGCAUGAAGUUAUGCACCCUAUGUAGAAAUGCAGUUUAUUUUAGGGUAGACGAAUAAUAUUCACAAAGGUAAGAUUCCUGGUGUAACACCUGUUGGAGAAACUAUGAUUGCAUGGUCGAGUGCUGGAAAAUGAUUUAAACAGAUGAGUGUCAGUGGUUAAUAUGGAAGAGUAUUGAAAUGGUAGGACCAACAUGGACAAAUAUUGGAGUCAGUACGGAUGAGUAUUAAAAAAUUUUAGAAUCAACACAAAGGAGUAUUGAAAACCAAUGCAGACAAGUACUAAAAAGGGAAUGUCAACAUGAACGAGUGUUGGAGAUCCAUACAUAUGAGAUUGAGAAAAGGAUGUACCAACACAGACGAGUGUUGGAUACCAAAAUAGACGAGUAUUACAAAAGGUUUAGAAUCAACACAGAAAGGUAUCAAUACAAACAAGUACUAAAAAAGGAAUGCCAACACGGAAGAGUGGUUUGGAAAAUAUGUUAGCAGGGACAAAUGUUUAGAAGGAAGAAUAAGGUCCUUUAUGCAAGGCACCAAUUUUGGCUUAUGCUUUGUAUGCAUGUUUGAAUUUCUGUCGCAUAAUAUUCCAUCUUGAUGGAUAUAUCACACAUUUUUAGAGAUUCAAUGAUAUGCAAUGAUGAUUAUUGUAUGCAUGAUGCAAGUAUAGUUGAAUUUUGUGGUUUACCAAGCAAAGUUUGGGCUUCGGAUGUGCCAAUAAGAAUUGAGCUUUAGAUGUGCCAAUAAGAACUGGACUUUGGAUUUCUUGUUUGCAAUGCUUCAUGAUAUGCUAAUGAAUGAUAUGCAUGAGUGAAGUGACAUGAUUAAUGCACAGUGAUGAUUUGUGUACUGGUUAAACCAAAUUCUCAUGUGGCGGGAGGUGGGAGCUUUAACGAUAUGAUAAGGGUCAUAAAUAUGUGAUUCUCCAACACCUACUCCAAGCUCAACAGUUGUUGUCACCCCUCUAGACUUGAUUUGAAACAUGGAGAGAGCUUGUACCUUUAUAGCCUGCCUCUGCCCUAGUUUGUCGGGUUUCUGCUUGAAUUUCCCUAGUCACAAGUUAUAAAGAAGUCUUGUCACAUGAUAAUCUCAACCUGACUUGCCACAGUGUCUUGAAACUGUAUCUCCCUGAUUAAACAUUUCCGAAAGUGAUAAACUUCUUGUGCUCUUGAGGUGGCCUGCCCUACUACGAGCCUUGAAGUAACUUUUCCCCUAUCUGGCUGAUUCAGAGAGAUUUAUUGAAUCUCGAUGUGAUUGCCCCAUAUUAACUGAAUCUUGUAGAGACUUUCCCUUUGGAGUGAUCAAAAGAAUGUCCAAUCUUAUGAUUGUAUAAGCUUCCUUGAUGUUAAGUGUUUUUCGCAACAAAA
rnacentral:lncRNA from 1 species